rnacentral:rRNA from 1 species
UGGGCGAAAGCCUGAUGCAGCGACGCCGCGUGAGGGAUGACGGCCUUCGGGUUGUAAACCUCUUUCAGCAGGGAAGAAGCGCAAGUGACGGUACCUGCAGAAGAAGCGCCGGCUAACUACGUGCCAGCAGCCGCGGUAAUACGUAGGGCGCAAGCGUUGUCCGGAAUUAUUGGGCGUAAAGAGCUCGUAGGCGGCUUGUCGCGUCUGAUGUGAAAGCCCGGGGCUUAACCCCGGGUCUGCAUUCGAUACAGGCAGGCUAGAGUGUGGUAGGGGAGAUCGGAAUUCCUGGUGUAGCGGUGAAAUGCGCAGAUAUCAGGAGGAACACCGGUGGCGAAGGCGGAUCUCUGGGCCAUUACUGACGCUGAGGAGCGAAAGCGUGGGGAGCGAACAGGAUUAGAUACCCUGGUAGUCCACGCCGUAAACGUUGGGAACUAGGUGUUGGCGACAUUCCACGUCGUCGGUGCCGCAGCUAACGCAUUAAGUUCCCCACCUGGGGAGUACGGCCGCAAGGCUAAAACUCAAAUGAA